rfam:Picea glauca, whole genome shotgun sequence.
ACAUGAAUACAACAUAGCGUUAAUGCACUGGAUCCUAUUAGACUAUGUAGUUAAGCGCGCUUGGGAUAGAGUAGUACUAGGAUGGGUGAUCACCUAGGAAGUCCUAGUGUUUUACAUGCA